UUCAUUGCUAACAAGGCAAUUAAAACAAUCCUCAAUCACUGUGUGUAACUGAACUUACAAACAGUAGAGCUUCAUGCUCAGAGGAGAAUCCUGCGACUCAUCAUCACAGUUGUCGUAUCGCCAAAAUACGACGACGUUGUCAAGAUACACACUAUAGAAAUGAUCCCUAAAAGUAUGAUCUUAACAAACAACUCUAAAACAACAUUUAUGAUUUACAGGUUUAAUCUGAUGUUUGCGUAAAAUAUACCCUUAUGGGUUCACAUUCUGAAAAUUUAGAACGUUUAAUUAUAGAUUGUACGACUAUAUCACACGCGUCAAGUUCGAAACGAAUUAUUCGUAUAAGUCGUCCUGUGUUUUGAAACUUAGUCACCUAGCCACGCUUUUAAUGCCAGCGUAAUUCGAAAUUACACGGAUUUAAACGACAAUGAAAAAACGUAAAAUCUUUCCGCAUAUUAAAUAAUGAUUUUAUAAAUACAAACAUAACUGCUCAGCAAGGAUUCUCCACCUUCCAAUGCUACGAGAGCAUCGAAAACAAUUCUCAAUCACCGUUUAUAAAUGAACCUACAAACAGUAAAGCUUCAUGCUCAGAGGAGAAUCCUGCGACUCAUCAUCGCAGUUGUCGUAUCGCCAAAAUAUGACGACGUUUUCAAGAUACACACUAUAGAAAUGAUCCCUAAAAGUAUGAUCUUAACAAACAACUCUAAAACAACAUUUAUGAUUUACAGGUUUAAUCUGAUGUUUGCGUAAAAUAUACCCUUAUGGGUUCACAUUCUGAAAAUUUAGAACGUUUAAUUAUAGAUUGUACGACUAUAUCACACGCGUCAAGUUCGAAACGAAUUAUUCGUAUAAGUCGUCCUGUGUUUUGAAACUUAGUCACCUGGCCACGCUUUUAAUGCCAGCGUAAUUCGAAUUUACACGGAUUUAAACGACAAUGAAAAAACGUAAAAUCUUUCCGCAUAUUAAAAAAUGAUUUUAUAAAUACAAACAACAACUGCUCAGCAAGGAUUCUCCUCCUUUCAUUAACUACAUCAGCAAUGAAAACAAUCCUCAAUCACUGUUUGUAAAUGAACCUACAAAACAUAAAGCUUCAUGCUCAGAGGAGAAUCCUGCGACUCAUCAUCUCAGUUGUCGUAUCGCCAAAAUACGACGACGUUUUCAAGAUACACACUAUAGAAAUGAACCCUAAAAGUAUGAUCUUAACAAGCAACACUUAAACAACCAACAUGUUUUACGAGUUUAAUCUGCCGUUUGC